GACGAACGCUGGCGGCGUGCCUAAUACAUGCAAGUCGAACGCACUCUCGUUUAGAUUGAAGGAGCUUGCUCCUGAUUGAUAAACAUUUGAGUGAGUGGCGGACGGGUGAGUAACACGUGGGUAACCUGCCCUAAAGUGGGGGAUAACAUUUGGAAACAGAUGCUAAUACCGCAUAAAACCUAACACCGCAUGGUGUAGGGUUGAAAGAUGGUUUCGGCUAUCACUUUAGGAUGGACCCGCGGUGCAUUAGUUAGUUGGUGAGGUAAAGGCUCACCAAGACCGUGAUGCAUAGCCGACCUGAGAGGGUAAUCGGCCACACUGGGACUGAGACACGGCCCAGACUCCUACGGGAGGCAGCAGUAGGGAAUCUUCCACAAUAGGACGAAAGUCUGAUGGAGCAACGCCGCGUGAGUGAAGAAGGUUUCGGAUCGUAAACUCUAGUUGUUGGAGAAGAAUGUAUCUGAUAGUAACUGAUCAGGUAGUGACGGUAUCCAACCAGAAAGCCAACGG
rnacentral:rRNA from 1 species